rnacentral:lncRNA from 1 species
UCUGGUUUGCAUCGUUCCCACAGACGGCGCCAAAAUGAUGAUGCUAAUUACUUAGAUCACCUGAGGUAGUGUAGAAAAUGAACUGGGAGAGCAAAGCAGAUCAGUAGCUUGACAACUUGAUGAUCCUGAGGCACCUGCGAUCAUAGAACACAUGAACUAAGCCAGGGGUUGAUCCGGCGGAAACCCCUCCGACGCUCAAGUCAGACGUGCUGAUCAUAGAAAUAGUCCAGAGA